CGCCUGGCAACAUAUAUGAAGUUCUUAGAACAUUACAUGGCAUUUAAUAAAUGUUAGGUAACUAUCACCAUUAUUUUCAUCCUUAGAAACAGUGAUCUUGGUGGCAAUGCAUAGAAACACACUCAGACUAACUGAAACCAUGAAAGGAAUUUAUUGGAAGAAUUAGGACUCUCACAGAUCUAAAGGGCAGGACUUCCAACUGGACCUCACAAAAGAAUGGAAUCUGUACCUAGAAACCUGUUGGGACCAAAGGCAGCCACUCGGCCCUCUGAGAUGGCACAGUUUCUAACAUUCACCCCUCUGUGUGUCUGCUCCCCUUGUUUUCCCUCUGCAGGCUGCCUUUCUCUUUAUCUCUGCAGUUGGCCAACAGCUGCCCUAGCCCUGAAGGUAAAUCAUCUCUCUUCUCCUACAUCACCAAUUAAAUAACCAAUAUUCCACAUACAAACUCGCAGGGGAGAAUCUGAUUGGCCUAGCCUGGGUCAGGUGUCUACCCCUGGUCCAAUCAGCUGUGGUCAAUGGGAGUCAUAUUCUAUGAUCAUGGCUGCAGGUGGCUCACUUUAGUGUGUGGGAAACCAGUUCCUUCCCCUGAGCGUGUUCUUUUUCGGUGUUGUUUAGAGAGUAUCUUUUCCAGGGCUGGGCACGGCGGCUCAUGCAUGUAAUCCCAGCACAUUGGGAGGCCAAGGCCAGUGGAUCACUUGAGCCUAGGAGUUCGAGACCAACCUAGAAAACAUGGUGAAACCCU
rnacentral:lncRNA from 10 species